rnacentral:rRNA from 1 species
UACGGAGGGUGCAAGCGUUGUUCGGAUUUACUGGGCGUAAAGGGCGCGUAGGCGGCCACUGCAAGUCGGUUGUGAAAUCUCCGGGCUUAACCCGGAAGGUCAAUCGAUACUGCCAUGACUAGAGUCCGGUAGGGGAGUGUGGAAUUCCCGGUGUAGCGGUGAAAUGCGCAGAUAUCGGGAGGAACACCAGUAGCGAAGGCGACACUCUGGGCCGGUACUGACGCUGAGGAGCGAAAGCGUGGGGAGCAAACAGG